rnacentral:rRNA from 1 species
UGCUACAGUCAUGCCACCCUGAACAAGCCCGAUCCCGUCUGAUCUCAGAAGCUAAGCAGGGUCGGGCCUGGUAGUACUUGGAUGGGAGACCACCUAGGAAGACCAGGUGCUGUAGGCG